GAUGAACGCUAGCGGGAGGCCUAACACAUGCAAGCCGAGCGGUAGAGAUUCUUCGGAAUCUUGAGAGCGGCGUACGGGUGCGGAACACGUGUGCAACCUGCCUUUAUCAGGGGGAUAGCCUUUCGAAAGGAAGAUUAAUACCCCAUAAUAUAUUUGAUGGCAUCAUUAGAUAUUGAAAGCUUUGGCGGAUAGAGAUGGGCACGCGCAAGAUUAGAUAGUUGGUGAGGUAACGGCUCACCAAGUCGAUGAUCUUUAGGGGGCCUGAGAGGGUGGUCCCCCACACUGGUACUGAGACACGGACCAGACUCCUACGGGAGGCAGCAGUGAGGAAUAUUGGACAAUGGGUUAGCGCCUGAUCCAGCCAUCCCGCGUGAAGGACGACGGCCCUAUGGGUUGUAAACUUCUUUUGUACAGGGAUAAACCUACUCUCGUGAGAGUAGCUGAAGGUACUGUACGAAUAAGCACCGGCUAACUCCGUG
rnacentral:rRNA from 1 species